AGGGGGCUCGGAUAGGGGGCGGGCGCCGCGGAGCUUGAGGGGGGGCGCGGCUGUAGGCAGGCGAGGCGGUGUCGCGCCCCCGGGGUGGCUGAAGGGGGGGCGCCCAGCCGGGCCCGUGGGCACCGCAGGACGCGCGGACAGAGCCGGCGCCGGGCACCAGCAAUGACAAGCCGCCUGCUCACCCCUCUCUCCGGCGCACCAGCUCCAGGAGGGGGGCGCGGGCGCGCAUAAAACGCGGCGCGGAGCCGCCGCCCAGGACCGGCCGCAGCAACCUGCCCGAGCGCACCGGCGGCAGGCCCGAAAACCCGGGAUGGACUUUACUCCCCUUCACCCCCUCUAGCCCCUCUGGAAAAACGGGGAGAGGGAAGGCGACGAGCUGGAUCCCGGCGUUGGAACGGGAAGUGGAGGAGGGGAGACAAGCUCAAGGAAGACCCGGGGCGGAUUUUGCCCGUAGCGAAGUAACGGAAAGGCGCCGAGCCCGGUGAGGGGAGAAAUGGGAGAGAUCUGGAAGAGGUAUGCAAAACCCGGGUUGGAUUAGAUAGAGAUGGGAGGAACGAAGGGAGCUGCGACAGGGCCAAAUGCACCCGGGGCACGCAAAUUUCGGGCCGGAUUCUUCCUCGGGAGACGGAGUAAUGCGUCAUGCCUAAUGCAGUGGGAACAAGCAAGACCUGGCCUAGAGUUCCCAGACCUGGGCUCGCAGGGGGCUCCAGGAGGGGGCUGCUUAGCGGCUAAGGCGCGUGGGCCGUCUUCCUGGCAGCUACGUGCAAGAAGGAGGGGCAAAAGGAGGGAUGGACUCGAACUCGAAAGGAUCCGGAGCGCUGGCUGCACCGAAGCGGGCAGGCCCUGUUUUGGAAGCUGAGGGUAUGAUGGUGAAUAAGAAACACAAAGUCACUGUCCUCCUGGAGCUUGCACUUUACUGGGGAGGCUGGUGAUUCACUAGUAACAAGAAGAAAAUUUCAGAAUGUGAACAAUUCUAUGAAGGAAAAAGCAAUGAAGAAUCAUGAGAUGGGAUGUGGAUGCUGGACACCGGCCAUGUGACCAUCGACUGGCAAAUGGAAAAUUAAUUGGCGUAUACUCAUUCAAUGGAAUAUGGUGCAGCAAUGAAAAAGAACAAAGUAUGGGGACUUCCUUGGUGGUCCAGU